rnacentral:misc_RNA from 1 species
GUGCAUGAAGUAGGAUACUAAAGCUGAUAAUUCCCUGUCACAAUAUCGUACAUCUUUGAAAACCCAGAGCAGAAAACAGUCUUCUACCAGUGGGCCACAAGUGGGAGAACCAGCCCACUCUAGGUGCAUUGACUGCGCCUGCAUCUUGAAGCAAGGCCUCUUCCUCAAUCCCAUCUGAAUCCGCCUGAUCAUCUUUCCUCUGAUUUUCACUUGUACUACUUUCUUCUGUAGGAGUUCCAACCUCUGCAAUUUCCCCUGGCUUCUUGUCAAA